UACGUAGGGGGCAAGCGUUGUCCGGAUUUAUUGGGCGUAAAGAGCGUGUAGGCGGCUAUGCAGGUCCGCUGUGAAAACUCGAGGCUCAACCUCGAGACGUCGGUGGAAACCGCAUGGCUAGAGUCCGGAAGAGGAGAGUGGAAUUCCCGGUGUAGUGGUGAAAUGCGUAGAUAUCGGGAGGAACACCAGUGGCGAAGGCGACUACCUGGCCUGUUCUUGACGCUGAGGCGCGAAAGCUAGGGGAGCAAACGGGG
rnacentral:rRNA from 1 species